rnacentral:rRNA from 1 species
GUGGAUUAGAUACCCUGGUAGUCCACGCCCUAAACUAUGAUUACUCGCUGUCGGCGAUAUACAGCCGGUAGCUAAGCGAAAGCGUUAAGUAAUCCACCUGGGGAGUACGCCCGCAAGGGUGAAACUCAAAGGAAUUGACGGGGGCCCGCACAAGCGGAGGAGCAUGUGGUUUAAUUCGAUGGUACGCGAGGAACCUUACCCGGGCUUGAAAGUUAGUGACCGACUCUGAAAGGAGUUUUUCCGUAAGGACACGAAACUAGGUGCUGCACGGCUGUCGUCAACU